AGCCUGGACUGCAUAAUUCAUUUAUGCAUUCCAUUUUUCAAGUCCAAAAGAAAUCCACUCUUGUUUAGAGAUGAAACUUCUUCAUAGUUUUUUCUUCAGACGGAGAGCGAUACAUUU
rfam:Tetrahymena thermophila SB210 genomic scaffold scf_8254803, whole genome shotgun sequence.